GGGGGCGUUCUGGUUUCGACGGGAUGUUCAACGCGCUGGUUGCACGUGGAGGUUGAUCGGCUGGCCUCCUAAAAAAGCCGCUCAAAACAAAUAAAUGCAGACUCUAACGAGCUCGCACUGGCCGCUUAAUUGACGACCACGUCAAAACCCCGACGCCUGCUAGGGGGGCUGGCGACACUUCAGCAGGCUGGAAUCAAGGUCGGGUAGCCGGGCCUCGAUUUGAGACUAAACAGGAUUCUAGGAUGCGUAACGCUGCAUGUGGGCCACGCGCAUCCGAAAUACCAGAUCGCAUGCUAAACGUGUAGAUACCAACGCCGACGAUGUUUCGGACAGGGGUUCGACUCCCCUCGCCUCCACUU
rnacentral:tmRNA from 1 species